AUUGAACGCUGGCGGCAUGCCUUACACAUGCAAGUCGAACGGCAGCGCGGGGCAACCUGGCGGCGAGUGGCGAACGGGUGAGUAAUAUAUCGGAACGUGCCCUGGAGUGGGGGAUAACGUAGCGAAAGUUACGCUAAUACCGCAUACGAUCCAAGGAUGAAAGCAGGGGACCUUCGGGCCUUGUGCUCCUGGAGCGGCCGAUAUCUGAUUAGCUAGUUGGUGGGUAAAAGCCUACCAAGGCGACGAUCAGUAGCUGGUCUGAGAGGACGACCAGCCACACUGGAACUGAGACACGGUCCAGACUCCUACGGGAGGCAGCAGUGGGGAAUUUUGGACAAUGGGGGCAACCCUGAUCCAGCAAUGCCGCGUGUGUGAAGAAGGCCUUCGGGUUGUAAAGGU
rnacentral:rRNA from 1 species